UUGGGAACUUGAGGAAGUUGAUACCUCUCCUCUACUGGCAGGUUAUUGUGGUUGUAUAAAUAUGAAUUAUUAGGAGUGGAGACAGUGGAUGAAUUAGCCUGGAGAGGAUUUUGGAAGUCAGAGUAGCUGGCUAUCUCAAGGACAUCCAUUUCCUGAAGGUGGAAUUGCCAGGUCACAGCCUAAACCAAUUCUUGAGCACCAGGUGGGAAGGUGUGGCUAACCCAGUGAGCUCAGGUGCAAGCAAUACACCUGAAUGAUCAGAAGGUAAAGAGCCUGGAUCCACCUCUUCUCAACCUCAUUUAAGGACUAGCAGCUAAAAAAAGCAGUGUUUUUCCAGAUGGAAGUUGUACUUCUCUGAAGUUGUCAGUGGUUGUUGGAAGCAAACACCUCUCUGGGUUCAGUAAGGAAGUAUGUCCGAGAUGUUAUCAUGUCCAGCUCCACAAACCAGUCUUGGAUUUGUCACACUGAGUGACAGAAUAAGGGGCUGCUUGUAUGAUCGAGGAAAUGCAGAUCUCAUCCUCUCUCUGUGUCAGCUUGGAAAAGCAUUUCUCAGGUGCAUUCAAACUGGGAGCAGUGUCCCAUCUGGAACUUCUCAGCAUAGAAUCACACAUGGGAUGGUCCAGGUUGGAAGGGACCUCAAAGAUCAUGAAUGUCCACCCCCCCCCCACCACCACAGGCAGGGCCACCAACCUCUGCAUUUAAUACAAGACCAAAAAAAAGAAAAAGGAACUGUGGCUAAUGGACAUAUUUAGUCAUAAUUUUCUCAGGUUAGAUGUUAGGAAGAAUUUCUUUCUCAGAGUGACUGGGCACAGGCUGCCCAGGGAAAUGAUGGAGUCACCAUCCCUGGAGGUAUUUAAGGAUCAGGUAGAUGUAGUACUGAGGGAUAUGGUUAGUGGGCAAUAUUGGUUGUAGGUGGACAGAUGGGCUGGAUAACCUUGGAGGUCUUUUCAAACCUUAAUGAUCUUUUAUUAAUAAUCUGCUUAUAAGUCUUAUUACCAGUGCUCUUAAAAAUGUAUAUAUACAAUCUAUUAGCAAAAGUCAAAUCAUCACAGGACAGCAUUUUAUAAUAUUUUUCAAAAAUAUUAAAAUUAAAGAGCUUGAGUAUGUGGAACAUUGAACAAAAGUUUCCUGCUCUUUCUUGCUCUGGUUGUUUUUUGUUUUUUUUUUUUCCCCCACUCAAAAUGUGUUUGGAAGGGCAUAUAGAAUUCAGGAUUGGUGUCUGUCUUUUUCUCUGGUCUAUGAAGUGUUGUAGGCAACCUACAGUAAACAGCAUUCCAGCGGCUCACUAAAUUGUAAAAGUUCCAUUUCUGCCAGUGACUGUAAGAAAUCAAUGUGUUUGAGCAUGGCUUAAAAAAGAGAAAAAUAUUAAACUAUUCUUAAUUGC